rnacentral:rRNA from 1 species
GACGAACGCUGGCGGCGUGCUUAACACAUGCAAGUCGAGCGGUAAGGCCCUUUCGGGGGUACACGAGCGGCGAACGGGUGAGUAACACGUGGGUGACCUGCCCUCAGCUCUGGGAUAAGCCCGGGAAACUGGGUCUAAUACCGGAUAUGACCUCUCAGCGCAUGUUGGGUGGUGGAAAGCCAGUGUCAUUGAUGCUGGCGGUUGGGGAUGGGCCCGCGGCCUAUCAGCUUGUUGGUGGGGUGAUGGCCUACCAAGGCGGUGACGGGUAGCCGGCCUGAGAGGGCGACCGGCCACACUGGGACUGAGACACGGCCCAGACUCCUACGGGAGGCAGCAGUGGGGAAUAUUGCGCAAUGGGCGGAAGCCUGACGCAGCGACGCCGCGUGGGGGAUGACGGCCUUCGGGUUGUAACCU